rnacentral:misc_RNA from 1 species
UAACUGGAGCCUCCGUAUGUCUAGUUAUAAGGCACAACUGAUAAUUAUUAUUACUUUUUUUAAUUUAUAUAUACUAAUUUUGAUUACCUCUUUAGUUAGCAAGAUGAGAGCCCCCUUUUACACAUGCACAUCUGAUACACCUUUGUUUCUGGACUUAUAACUUGAGUCUGAUACUCUGGUUAUUUGCUUUAGUUGUAGUUUAAUAACCUAUUUUUGUUGGCACAAGGUUAAUGGUGG